rnacentral:lncRNA from 1 species
AUUGGCGAGAGCAGGACUUUGGCAGGCAUUUAUCACAGAGUAUAUUACAAAUGUCAUUAGUGAAACAUUAAUAUUACACAACAUUUUAGAAAGGCUGAAGCAAUCAUCUCGUUUUAAUAACAAGACAGUUCUUAAAGAUUUCCUUUAUUUUUUCCUCAAGCAGAAAAUGAGGAACAUUCUAGGAUUAUCAGAUCUCACUCUUUGUUUGCAAAUUGCAAACUGAAACUGUUGAUCACUGCAUUUCUUUCUUCUUAAAUCGGGUCUGCUUGACAAGUGACUGCCAUGCAUUUCUCUUUAUUCAAGGAGACAGAAGACCCUGCUGUUUUGAGGAGGGACCAUUCCAAUAGCCUGCCUUCCUGGGAAGGAGAGACUUUUGCCCAGGAUUGAGGAGACCUAAGUCCUAUUUCCAACUUUGAUGAAGACAGUGGACUCCUCCAUGAACAAUUUACUCAUCCUUGGACUUCCCACUCCAGGACUGAGAUUACAUUUGUCCUGUUGCUUCCACUGAAAGAAGAGCCAGAAAUAUGCCUUAGAAUUUUGGAAGAGAACUGCCCAUCUUCAAGGAUGGAUAUUGGUCUCCCCGGAGUCGCUGACAGGGUUCCUGGGGAAGAAUAAGAGCUCCUAGCAUCGUUGAUGUAGCUUCUUUUAGAUGGGUGAGGCUGAAAAAUAACUCUACUUAUUGUAUAGAGAAAAGGAGUAUAAUCAGAUCUUUUGUGUAUUUAAAAGGGAAGGCUGCUGGACCUCUAAAGUAUGGAUUUCUGGUUGGGGAGGAGAUUGGCUUGUUCUGGACCAAGGAGGUGGGUGGAUACAGCAGAAGCAGCCAUAAGUAGGCAUGUGAAAGCCAACUGGUCCCUGGGUGGUAGCUGUGUAUAGCAGUGGAAAGAUCUGAGCCCUGAUGUAUGCAUACUUAGCGGCACAUUAGAUUAUUUUAACAUUAAAGGACUGGGUGGACCAUUCUAUAGACAGGCCUCAGCAGGUUUCUGUUCAGGUGGAAACUCAGAUCCUGCUGAUGGAGUACGUACAGGCAUGCCUUCAACAGGAAUAGAGACUUCAGGAGGCAGUGAGCAGAUUCUAGCUCUGGCAUUGCUGGGGUGAGGAUAUGUCUGCCCUCCCAACCCUCUUCUACUUUUGGACUUCUAAAAAGUACCUGGACAAUUCAGAGGGAGGUAGAUGACUGAAGUGUGAUUUUCCAAAGGCAGAAGGAGGCUCGUCACAGCCUACUUUAUCCAAAUGGGCCCUUAACCUGCAGUCCUACCAGCCUCUCAAACAGCGAAACUUUGCAGCUGGCAGAGAUGUGUAUGACACACCUGUGCUGCCAAUCACUGAAGAAACCAUGUCUUGAGGAACCUAAGGAGAAAAACUCAGUGGCAAUUGCUUGUCAGUGAAAACAGACCUUGAGGAUGUUGCAGGAAGAAGAGAGAGGGCCUCGUUUGGGAGCUGUUCACCUCUGUCCUAAUACAGGGCACCAGGUCCUGUUCCAAUGGCAGACAGCAUGGGAAGCCAUUAAUGUGCCUGAGUUCUGCAGUCAGACAGCUGGUGUUGGAUCCUCUAACCAACUCUGUGACUGGACAGGAGUUAUAGCCUCUUUCCAAGUGAAUUAUGAAGAGCAAGAGCAAGUGUGGAUAAUAUGGAAGCUCAUUCCAGGUAAUAAGGAGUGGUGAAUAUCACAUUCAUUUUAGUCUAGCCUUUUGGCCACAAGAUAUUCCUGGACAAAUAUCAUGAAGCAUUAUCCUAAAGUUGGUUGUAGUUUCCCAUAGGAACACUAUUAUAAUUUAAUUCCACAAAUAUGAAUUAAGUACCAUGAUGCCCCAGGCAUUGUGCCAGGGCCUGGCUAGUUAUAAGGAAGUAUAAG